rnacentral:lncRNA from 1 species
CAAAAAUGUAACCAGAUAGCGGUAUGUCAUUCUGAUUCCUAUAUGUGGUGGAUGACGGGUAUUUCUAUGAAGCGUUGGGCAGCGUAGCCAUCCCCGUAACUGCGUUUAAGAAGACGACUCCAGGUUCUUUUUUCUUUCUGGGGUACAGAACCCGUUACGGACGCAGCUUCACACACCGCUGCCUCACGGCCUAGUCGACUGCCUUUAGAGCGUGGUGGUCUGUUUUUAAAGCAGAAGGCAGAUGUUGUGUGGCCUUUCCAAUGACGCAAAAUGACGACACCUGGCAGAUUCCUGUGGGCCAUUUGCUUCGUUUUCCCAAAGCUCCGGACAGGCUGUAUCAACGGAAUGCCCCUCCAUUCCUAGAUGUAUAUAGAGCGAGUUAUCAACCCAAGACAAAGCAGACAAAGCGGUUGAGAAGCCAACGCGCGGCCCGAACCCCUUUCUUCACUUUGGUCUCUCGGGGGCUACGUUUGCUCCUGAUCGAAGGACUUUCUGUAGCCCCAGUCGUCUGCUGGGGCGUUCCCCAACGAGCCUACAUUUGAUAAACGAGCUCCUUGGAGCGUCGUUUUCACGGAAGCUUUGCAGCCGAAAACCUCGUUGGCGUCAUCGCCCAAAUCCACGCCUAGUUCAUCGCACCUUCUCCUUUGUCCGCCAACCUCCACGAAGUGGAACAUUCGCGCGAGUCUCCAUCUGCUUCAGUUCUGUACAUCGGAAAGAACGACUCUCUCCUGUUGACCCCGAAACUGAUCGGUAGGAUAGCCAGGAUGAAUUCCUGAGGUUGAAAAUGCUGGAAGGGGCUUUUAAAGUGUGUGUUUCCCUUCUCGUCCCUGCACCGUCACCGCUGUGUGGGCCAGUUCCUGCGAGCCGCGAAUCGGCGUCUCUGGACUCUGUCUAACCCCGUGAAGAGCUUAGAAGGAAGAAGCGUCCACCAAAGUCCGAGAACAAGAAACGGUGUGAGAGGAGCGUCCAGCUCCUCAGUCCUGAGAACCUGCUGUCCUUCCUGGCGAGCUCGCGUGGCCCUAAAGCUCGCCUGACCAGCUUCUCGCUUAACCCCAGAACGAGGGCCGCGUGUCCAUGGCAUACGACUGCCGUGUUGCCAAGCUUUGACGAACACCUCCCUGCGGCAUCCCGGGAUUCAUCAUAGGCUGCUGCUGCUGCCCAUACAUCUGCGGUCCCAUGUAGGGUCCGCCAGGAGGCGGCCGCGGUUCCUCCUCCUCGUCGGAUCUGGAUCUCCCCGCGUACGCGAGGACGCCUAAGAGGAGAAUGCUCCCAACAACGCAUCCAGCGAUCAUGACAGUGGACACCCCUUCGUCUCCUUCGGUCGCGUCACUGGACGUGUCGCUGUCGCUGUCGAGGUCGUCGUCACUCGUUGCACGGACGCACCGCAGUUUCCCGUAGACUGUCUGAAGAGAAUACUCCGGGUUGCAAGUGCACGUAUAACUGUCCUUGGUAGGGACGCACAGGGAGACAGCUUCAGGUUUCCCACAGGGGUCUCCGAUGCAGCUGUUGGGUAGGGCACAGAGCUGGGUAUUGUCCGACUGGGUCCGCAGUUCAUAGCCCGAGUUGCAAAUACACGUAUACCCGUCUCCAGAGGAAUUCACCUGGCACUCGGAGACGGCGUCCGAACUCCCGCAGGGAUUCACCGAGCAGGCGUCGGCUUUGUGGCACAUUCGCGUGCCUUUCACGUAUUUAAGCAGAUAGCCGGCCUUGCAUUGACAGUCCCAUUUCCCGUCCGACACUUUCUCGCAGCGAGUCACCCCUUCAAUCGCUC